GGGUGAUGGAGGACGGCGGCGGAAUUUGGGGGACGGACAAUGCUAGGGUUUCGUGGGUCGUGAGGAGCGGUUAUAAAGGGAUUGAGAGGGCACAAUUUGUGAAACUGAUUGAUGCGUAAUUUGUGGAAUAGGAUCUAAGGGCAAACAUCGUCAGCUCAUUCCGAGGGACGGUCGUGGGCGCGGGGGUGGAUUCCUUCGAUCGUAGGGCGCUUGGCCUUUCCUCGUCGCUUCUUCCGGUCACGUACGGCGCAAAUUCGCUGGAGGGCGGACCGAAAGAGCGUAAGACAUUCGACGUACGAGGUUUUGUCCCGUUCCUGGUUUUUUAAGCUGUAGAGACUCUCGAGGUCAUCUUUAUUUUUGCAGGCUUGAAUAAUAUAGGAAGUCAUCGGUGAACGGAGAGGAGGGAAGGGCAGCAAGCAGUAUCACGUCGACAUCGAGUAUGGUGACGGUGUCGGAGAUAGGGGAGGACGGUGAGGAAGAGAAGAUAGGCAUCAUGGUGGAUGGAGGAGAAAAGGGAGAUAGAAGGUUGAGGGUGCAGAUAGGAGACGUGACGGUUAAAACAUGCAAUGUGAUUUCGGGGGUGUUUGGAUACACCUCCUAAAGUUUAGUACCCAUCACAUCGGAUGUUUGGAUACUAAUUAUGAGUAUUAAACAUAAACUAUUUACAAAACCUAUUGUACAGAUGGAGUCUAAUUCGCGAGACGAAUCUAUUAAGCCUAAUUAGUCCAUGAUUUGAUAAUGUGUUGCUACAGUAAACAUAUACUAAUCAUGGAUUAAUUAGGCUCAGUAGAUUCGUCUCGCGAAUUAGUAUAGAGAUUCUGCAAUUAGUUUUAUAAUUAGCUCUAAUUAGCAUCCAAACAUCCGAUAUGACACUCCUAAAGGCUCCCUUUGGUUGGGCUUUCCAACCUGCUUUUGCUUUUGCAAAAGCCAAAAGCCAACCAAAGGGCCUAAAAGCUCUACGUGCUUUUGCCCAAAAGCUACUUUUGCUCUAGUACAAAAUCAAAAGCACCUUCCCCCCCUGCUUUCAAGUGCUUUUGGGGUAAAAAAUUACCCACCUGUCACUGGUUAUGAUGUACCCUUUCAUCUAAUUUUUCUCUCCCGCACGCACAGACCGUUCAC
rnacentral:lncRNA from 1 species